UACGGGGGGGGCAAGCGUUGUUCGGAAUUACUGGGCGUAAAGGGCUCGUAGGCGGCCAACUAAGUCAGACGUGAAAUCCCUCGGCUUAACCGGGGAACUGCGUCUGAUACUGGAUGGCUGGAGGUUGGGAGAGGGAUGCGGAAUUCCAGGUGUAGCGGUGAAAUGCGUAGAUAUCUGGAGGAAUACCGGUGGCGAAAGCGACUCUCUGGACGGUAACUGACGCUGAGGCACGAAAGCGUGGGGAGCAAACAGG
rnacentral:rRNA from 1 species